rnacentral:rRNA from 1 species
UACGGAGGGGGCUAGCGUUGUUCGGAAUUACUGGGCGUAAAGCGCACGUAGGCGGCUUGGUAAGUUAGAGGUGAAAGCCUGGAGCUCAACUCCAGAAUUGCCUUUAAGACUGCCGAGCUAGCAGGUGAGAGAGGUGAGUGGAAUUCCGAGUGUAGAGGUGAAAUUCGUAGAUAUUCGGAAGAACACCAGUGGCGAAGGCGGCUCACUGGCUCGAUACUGACGCUGAGGUGCGAAAGCGUGGGGAGCAAACAGG